GAUCUGAGACACGAUUCCAGGCCCUACGGGGCGCAGCAGGCGCGAAAACUUUACAAUGCAGGAAACUGUGAUAAGGGAACCCCGAGUGCCCGUACACGCGGGCUGUCCCGGUGUUUAAAACACAUCGGAAGAAAGGGCCGGGCAAGACCGGUGCCAGCCGCCGCGGUAAUACCGGCGGCUCGAGUGGUGACCACUUUUAUUGGGCUUAAAGCGUUCGUAGCUUGAUUUUUAAGUCUCUUGGGAAAUCUCACGGCUUAACUGUGAGGCGUCUAAGAGAUACUGGGAAUCUAGGGACCGGGAGAGGUAAGAGGUACUUCAGGGGUAGAAGUGAAAUUCUGUAAUCCUUGAGGGACCACCGAUGGCGAAGGCAUCUUACCAGAACGGCUUCGACAGUGAGGAACGAAAGCUGGGGGAGCGAACGGGAUUAGAUACCCCGGUAGUCCCAGCCGUAAACUAUGCGCGUUAGGUGUGCCUGUAACUACGAGUUACCGGGGUGCCGAAGUGAAAACGUGAAACGUGCCGCCUGGGAAGUACGGUCGCAAGGCUGAAACUUAAAGGAAUUGGCGGGGGAGCA
rnacentral:rRNA from 1 species